CAAUCUUAGUGGCGAACGGGUGAGUAACGCGUAUGCAACUUACCUAUCAGAGGGGGAUAGCCCGGCGAAAGUCGGAUUAAUACCCCAUGAAACAGGGGUCCCGCAUGGGAAUAUUUGUUAAAGAUUCAUCGCUGAUAGAUAGGCAUGCGUUCCAUUAGGCAGUUGGCGGGGUAACGGCCCACCAAACCGACGAUGGAUAGGGGUUCUGAGAGGAAGGUCCCCCACAUUGGUACUGAGACACGGACCAA
rnacentral:rRNA from 1 species